rnacentral:rRNA from 1 species
AACGAACGCUGGCGGCAUGCCUAACACAUGCAAGUCGAACGAGACCUUCGGGUCUAGUGGCGCACGGGUGCGUAACGCGUGGGAACCUGCCCUUAGGUUCGGAAUAACUCUCCGAAAGGGGUGCUAAUACCGGAUAAUGUCUUCGGACCAAAGAUUUAUCGCCUUUGGAUGGGCCCGCGUUGGAUUAGCUAGUUGGUAGGGUAAAAGCCUACCAAGGCGACGAUCCAUAGCUGGUCAGAGAGGAUGAUCAGCCACACUGGGACUGAGACACGGCCCAGACUCCUACGGGAGGCAGCAGUGGGGAAUAUUGGACAAUGGGCGAAAGCCUGAUCCAGCAAUGCCGCGUGAGUGAUGAAGGCCUUAGGGUUGUAAAGCUCUUUUACCCGGGAUGAUAAUGACAGUACCGGGAGAAUAAGCGCCGGCUAACUCCGUG